ensembl:lncRNA
AAACAUCAGCUUUUUGUAAGGCGGUGCGCCAUUUAACUACAAGUCUGAGAGGAGAAUACCCUCCAUUUUCUCUCAUCCAGAUUUCUCUGUUCAAAGGACAUAUUGAAAGGCUGGAAUUUCCCAUACGUGUAGGAAAUCCCUGAGCGUCACACGUUCUUUCUGCAGAGCACGGAGCUCCUGCGGCUGGAAUGUGAACCCAGAAAAGCCAUUCAGUGAUGGGGAUGGAAAGCUGCUGCUUCCCACUGGGCAUGGCAGGAUCACACGGACCGUCUGACAGCCCACGACAGCCUCGGGGUCCUGCAGCCCAUCGCUGGUCCUGGACAGCCAGCAGUGCCGGCUGGCACAGAAGGAGGCCCUUCUCCCAGAUCCUUCAUUCUCCUGAGGGGAUGACGAUUGCAAGACACAGAGCAGGAUGUGCCAUGCAGUGAGCCUCAGUGGUGAGUGUCACACUAACAGUUUCCCUGGAAAUCUCCCUGUUUUUUUUUUCUUUUUCUGGAAAAAAAUUGUUCCUUAUGUUUUUCCUUGGCCUUUCUGGCUUUUGAAAAGUCAUGGCAAAGCAGUUUAUGCCCUGGAGACCCAGAAGUGCUCCCAUAUUCCUGUUGCGGCUGUACUGCUGUCCAGGUGACUCUGACAAGGCACCUUUCUGUUGGCUGCACUGCCUGGCUGCCUCUGCUUCCCUCUCAGCCAUAGCACACCUUUAUUCCUGCUCAUUUGGUGACACUGCUGAAUUUGAUGUGGUUUGCUCAGGUAGAGAUUUACCUUCAGCUUCCACCACCUUCUCUCAUAGUGGCUUCCAAGUGGAGUCACGGUUUUCUUGCUCACAGCUUUCCUUUCUCUUCUUCAAAUAUAUGUCUACUUCUAACAGUUCUGUUUGGAUUCCAUCCCUUUACACACUUCUACCCCUUUGACAAGGCUCAUUUUUCAGGACAGAGGUUAUAUUUCUCAUCAAAAUGCUGGCAAAGAUAAGGGCCACAUAGGCCCGUGGACCAGCUGAUGGAAAUUCAUCUAAAUCCCACACUGACGGUUCCCCACCAAUAGCCAAGGCUAUGCAGGCAUGGCUGCGAGCCCAUGAUUCAGCAACUUUCACUGAUUAAUCAAGUCACUUCAUUUUUUAUGCAUGCAAGUUUGCCCAAGGCAGCUGUGUUCAGUCGCUUUCUCGUCAGAAUGUUAGCAGUGCUGCGGAUGUCACAGGGUUUGUGAUAUUGAUAUAAAUACAUAUAGAUAUGCGUAGGUUUCUGAUUAGGUUGAGAUUUUGAAUACUCUUUAGUGGCGUUUGUUCAGUUGAUAGAAUCCCUUCUGCACAUUUACAUGCACGUUGUACCU